CCCUUAGAUGUUCUGGGCCGCACGCGCGCUACACUGAUGCAUUCAACGAGUCUAAAACCUGCUCUGAUAGGGGUGGGUAAUCUUUUGAAUGUGCAUCGUGAUUGGGACAGAUGAUUGCAAUUUUUCAUCUUCAACGAGGAAUGCCUAGUAAACGCAAGUCAUCAGCUUGCAUUGAUUACGUCCCUGCCCUUUGUACACACCGCCCGUCGCUCCUACCGAUUGAAUGAUCCGAUGAAUAUCAUGGAUUGAGGAUGCAAGCAGGUUCGCCUGUCUUCAUCUUCGAGAAGUGAAGUAAAUCUUAUCAUUUAGAGGAAGGAGAAGUCGUAACA
rnacentral:rRNA from 1 species